rnacentral:rRNA from 1 species
GAUGAACGCUGGCGGCGUGCUUAACGCAUGCAAGUCGAACGGUGAACACGGAGCUUGCUCUGUGGGAUCAGUGGCGAACGGGUGAGUAACACGUGAGCAACCUGCCCCUGACUCUGGGAUAAGCGCUGGAAACGGCGUCUAAUACGGGAUAUGUGACGUGACCGCAUGGUCUGCGUUUGGAAAGAUUUUUCGGUUGGGGAUGGGCUCGCGGCCUAUCAGCUUGUUGGUGAGGUAAUGGCUCACCAAGGCGUCGACGGGUAGCCGGCCUGAGAGGGUGACCGGCCACACUGGGACUGAGACACGGCCCAGACUCCUACGGGAGGCAGCAGUGGGGAAUAUUGCACAAUGGGCGCAAGCCUGAUGCAGCAACGCCGCGUGAGGGAUGACGGCCUUCGGGUUGUAAACCUCUUUUAGCAGGGAAGAAGCGAAAGUGACGGUACCUGCAGAAAAAGCGCCGGCUAACUACGUG